rnacentral:lncRNA from 1 species
AGGCGUGGUAAUAACAAUGAGAACACUAUUAAAUCCAGACUACACAGACUCUCCUGGAUCAAACAAACAAAAAAAAAAAAAAAAAAAAAAGUGGAGAAACAUCCUCAGGGUGUGGCCACAAAGUAUGAAAUAAAUGCACAGAAACCUGUCAUACCUGAGGAGGUUUACAGUGAAAGUCUCGCUAAUGAAACCACAUAGUCUGUAGUGGAGUUUCCUGUGAGUCGGGAGUGCGCACAGAGAAUCCGAGCAGUACAGUACAUAGGAAAUGACUCAUAGGACUUGAACUGUUAGCGUGGGUGUGUGCGCUAUUAAAACAAGGCGCAGACUCCUCCGGGGUGACUCACUCUGAUGCUCGCUUUUCCAUGCUGAAAACCAGCACGGAUUGUUAAUCAGAUGAACUUUCGGGAAUUGCGCAGCCGACAGCGAGCAGCUCUUCACCCGCAGACAUCAUGGCUUCAAACGCUCUCUGCGCGAUUUGUGGACUUAUUAUAGCGGCUGUGGCGAAUUUUCAUAUUGUGAGCGCACAGAAAAGUCAGUGUGGCAGUUCAGAGUUUUGGAACGCAGAUCUGGAUGUGUGUGUGGCGUGCGCAUCGUGCAAGCAGUACCCAAAGACCCCUUCAUGCAACACAUGUAAACAUGUGGAGGAAACGCCCGACGUGUGGAAACUGGCAGCCAUCACCAGUUUCUCAGUGCUGGCUGUCGUGCUGGUCGGCGCGGCGCUGAUUAUCGGGGUCAUGCUGCAUCAACGCAAGUCACACAAACGACCUCUACGUGAACCCAUUGAAGAAACUGCUGGGCCACUUUAUCAAGCUUAAACAUUUCACCUCAUCUUCCUCUGGAAACAGAUGUGACAGAACCAACAAGCGACUGGUUCAGAGCCGGACCAUGAAAACCUCUGAACCGCCACGAGUACUCUGACUGCAGGGGUCUCUCUUGACCAGAAUUGGACCAUUUUAAUUUAUUAGACUGUUCAGUGGAGAGAUGUGCUCAGUUCUCAAGCUCAGUGUAGGUCCCACCGUGACUACAGGACUUACAACAAGCAAAUCUCACACCUCUGUAGGAAUAGGAACAUUAUUCAUAGAGUGGUAUCAACGUUAGAUUUUAUGUGCCUUUAUAUUUCACUUAAAUGAGACCUAGGUUGUGGGCUUAGAUGUUCAGUCUAGAAACCAGAUGAAACUACAGUCCACGCUCCUGUAUUGUACAAUGCUGUUUUUCAGCAGGACUCCACUGAAUGUAACACGGAUACCGCUGCCUGCUGAGCUGCAGUUCGAUCCCCCUGCUGUUUGGCAGGGUUAGACGGGGUCUCUCAGCUGGCCAUUUACCACGGCAGCCUCUUAAAGAUAAAUCACAUGUGAGUAAGACAUACUGUUAGGCACAUUAAGGCCAUUUGAAUGUAGCUACUUUUAAGUCAAAUGUAUUCUAGCCUUCGUCCCUGCCAGUACCUCCAUGUACCUGUUUUAACAGCCUAAUACAGUGUAAAGCUGUCGAUAAAGGGAGUGAGCUACACUCAUGCGCUGUUAAUGGGCCCCUGAGACCAAGACAGACCCUUUAUUGCAGGUUAUUACAAUAGUAUGUUGUUUGUUUCAGUGUUACUAAGUUUAUGGAGAUGUUAGUUUAACGUUUCUCUGUUACAUCCCCAGACUUUACGUGUUAGUGUCCCAGCAUUCGUAGGACAGGAUGUUAGAAACACUAGACACACAAUCCCCAAAUGUUAACAUGUGGGAAUGUUGUGAGGAAUGUACUGUAGUGAAGAAAAUGACACCGACAGUGUUUUAGGUGGAGCUACACAACCACAAUGCUUGCUAACUCUGACCGGUCACAUCAUUUCAGAUCUGCAGCAGGCAAACACACGUGGCCAGUGACAAACGUGGUGGGCAAGGUGUCGUUUCCCACUUGCAUUAUAGUACAGAAUGUUUUUCACCUUCAAGUCAUCCAGCAGUAGGUUGCUGCCGACAGUUACAGUGAUAUUUUUUCACUGAUGAUGUUACUUAUGGGUAAACCGCCAACCCUCUGGCAACAAAAUUGUGGACUCACAUAAGAUACAGAUACCUGUUUGUUUGUUUUUUCAUUUAUAGAUGUUUAUAUUAUUUAUUUUAAGUAUCUUGCAGUGAUGAGUUUCAUCAGCUGCGAGGGACAAGCACAUGUUUAAAAGGGAAGUGAAGUCUCACAGGCCAGCCAAUGAUAAUACUUAGCAAUAACUAACAUUUUCUACUUCUUUCUCAUGCUUUCUUCUUGUAUAUACUGUACAUGCACUGGCUUCUUUAUCUUAAUGCAAUCUUAUAAACCGCUUUAUGUACCAAAUGUAUUUUGACAAUAAAACUGACAACUGUCAUUAGUAAUCUACGGUGUAUUGAUGAUUAGUUAGUUGACAUUAGUUGGAAGAAUAUAUAGACAAGAGACAAACACAUUGUAUUGUCUUGUAGAAGUCUUUUAAUUAAUUUCAGCUAGUUUUUAUCAAUAAUUUCCUUAAAUUCUAAACUAACUUCUAACAAAGAAGUAAAAAUCUACGCUUCAGAGUGACAAAAUAGUUAUAGAAAUAUGAAUUAAAUACUGAGCAGACAUUUCUGAGCACUGAAAAUCCAAUGUCUUUUAUUACACAAUAGCUAAUCUAGCAGGUUUCUCCUGUUGAAGAAAGUCUUGCCAUAAAUGUACAGAGAACUAACUGAUAUUUCCGUUCUAAUAUUUACAGAGAGCUCUGAGAUUAACAAACACCACAAAUACCAGGCUGUGACUGUAAUGAACUUGUGGAGUGCCACAGGAAAGAAAACAAAAACUCCAACAUUGUACAAAAAUAAAUCAGUUUACAGUAUGAAAACUGAAAUGUACGUGUGUUGUUCUACAUGUAGGCUACCAUGGCAUAUGAAAAUAUGUUCUAAUAAUCUAAAUUAAUGAAAUGAAUACACAGAACACUUGAACCAAAGGGGCAGAUGGCAAGUUGUCGUGAUUUUUUUCAAGGUUAGUGUCCAUAUACUGAGUAAGACAACAUAAUUGACAAGUGCUCAGGUCAUGCACUGAAACAAAACUUGCAGCAUAUUGCUUAAAUACUACAACCUGCAAACUAGCUGAGGUGAACUAUCGACCAGCUGACCAUUUGCCUGUGGAAACCCCAACAAAGGACAACAGGUAAGCUGGACUAUUAAAGAAUUCCCGUCUUCCUUAGGCUACAACUACACAUGUGCAAAUAAACAAGUGAAAACAAGAAUCUGAAAACUACAAAGUAAAAUCUUAAAACUGAUGCUUCAUCCAUUCUAUAUGUAUGAUAAUUGAUAACUGAGUCUUUCUACAAUUAAGCUGAAUGAGGCAUUAAGUAGCAGUUGCUAGGUAGGCAGGGCUUUCCAUGAGGUAUUUCAUACUUCUGACCAGUGCACACACUACAACAUGAAAUCUAAUGAGUAAGGCAAAAAGGAAAUUUAGUAUCGUAACACAGAUGCGUUCACUUUUGCUAGAUUUCUGAUUUGUGAAAAGAAACCACUUAACAACAGGCACAUUCGACAACUUGACACAAGUAACACCAAGGAAACAAUAAUUGCACAUUUUUUGUAGAACACGAGCUGUUCGCGAAAUUAAAGAGUGGAGAGGAAACUGGUUGGUCAUUGUAAAUCCAUAAAGCUCUAGUGUGUUUGUAAUAAUACUUGUGCUUAGUAGAAAUGAGUCCUUUCGAUCACAUAUUUGUUUAAAAAUACUUCUGCAAAAGUAUUCGAGUCAUUAUACAGCAGUUUGUGAGGGAAAAAAUAACGGAGACAGAAGCUAAUAAAGCAACAUUCACCUCACUGUUGUAAUCCUUUUUUUGUCUGCUGCUGCUCCAAGACAUUUGAAAUGUUAGUGGAUGAAUCAGAAGAAAUUAAAAAAAGGAACCUUGUGUUUUACAGUAUAACCAGUUUACAUUAAACUGCUACAAUCAACUUACAUUUGAGGCACUGGCACGUCAACUUAACUGAUGCUUCUUAAAGUUUCAGCAUGCACUGCAUGUGGAGCUGCAACUAAACACUGGAGUGACUUUGACAACUGUUACAUGAGCUAAGUUAUAAGCGUGCUGAAAUGGCACAAUGCUCAGUUCAGAAAGUGAUUAUCUACAAUGUUUUACACAUCAGGUAUGGACCUUUUAAAGGUUUACCCUGAGUGCUGCCAAAAACACACCUUGGCUCAUUCAUUCUUACCUGUUGUAACCAAAAACUGAGUUACAAAUCGACUGAUGGAGUUUCUUAAAGGCUACAUGAGAUCUAGAAGACAGUUUGUACAAGAUUUCUCUAAUAAAAUAUGCACAUAAAAUAACAGCAAUAAAUUAAUAAAUACAUCCAUUUUAGCAUACAAUGUCACUCAAGGUGAAUAUUAUUAGCAGUGCGACUAUUUUCUCAAUAAUACCAUUUCAGUAAAUCACUUUGCCACUGACCUUUGGACACACCCAGAGGUAUUUGACUUAAUAAUAACAGGCUUGCCAUAUGUGAGACUCCAAAGGAAAGUGAGCAGUCCUUUGACACCGACGGCAAAGCUAACAAAAAGGAUUUAGAGAUAAAUAUAGUUUGUAUAUUUAUAUUUAGUUUCCUAAGGAACUUACAGAGGCACUGAACACAAUUAUACAUAGCAAGAGAGGAGGGACUGUUGUGAGAACAGUACUGUCUUACAAAAACACAUCAUUGUUCUUACAUAGACCUGCGCUGCACGUUUCUGUUCACUUUGGUCGGUUUGUCAUUGAGGAAUAAGCAGCGGCUGUUUUCAUCACCUGCCCUACUUUCUGGGAUCCUGUGUAUUCAUGGAAAACAUUCAGACCUUAUUAAAAGCUGCCCGAUAAACUCUCUGGAGACUUUUCAGUGAUAUCGCCAUGUGUUGUGGAGAUAAGAUAGGAAGUCAGUAAUGAAAUGUGCAUCUUCAAAGGAGCUUCUGUUAGGACCAAGGAGCACUUUCUGAAAAAAAUUCUGUUUUACAAUUAUUGAUAGAGGGAUAAAUAACAGAUAAAUAAAAAGGGCCACCUGUCCCUUCCUCUU